rfam:Schistosoma mansoni, Puerto Rico, WGS project CABG01000000 data, contig: 0228
GCCGGCGAUCAUACCACGUUGAAAGCACCGGUUCUCGUCCGAUCACCGCAGUUAAGCAACGUUGAGCCCGGUCGGUACUUGCA